GAUCGAUCUACAACACUUACGCAUUGCAAUCCGGAGAAUCCAUGAAUAUGCAAAAGAAGCCUUGAGAAUUAUUUUAGUCAUUUGUGUAUAGCAUGACGUUUCCAAAGAUAGAAUGAUGCAUGAUUGGUCAGCACACAAACUCUUGGCCAGGCGGGAUGUUACUAACAAGCAUAAACAGACACCUAAGCGAUCAGAUACGGCGAUUGUGCAAGUGUGUCAGGCCAACAGUUUGAGCAUACGGCAACCAUGGUGACAAAGACGAGCAUACCGGAACUACUCUAAGUUUCCAUGUUCUCGGUUACAGAGACUAGAUUGUUCCAAGUCGAU